UGCGAUUGGUCGGGGAGCCGAAAGGCCGAGACGGCAGUGAUAUGCCGAACCCGUUGAACCUGAUCCAGUUAACACUGGCGUAGGGAACCGAUGGCCGAUGGCC
rnacentral:ncRNA from 2 species